rnacentral:rRNA from 1 species
AUUGAACGCUGGCGGCAUGCCUUACACAUGCAAGUCGAACGGCAGCAUGGGUGCUUGCACCUGAUGGCGAGUGGCGAACGGGUGAGUAAUGCAUCGGAACGUACCCGGAGGUGGGGGAUAACAUAGCGAAAGUUACGCUAAUACCGCAUAUUCUGUGAGCAGGAAAGUGGGGGAUCGCAAGACCUCGCGCUUCCGGAGCGGCCGAUGUCGGAUUAGCUAGUUGGCGGGGUAAAGGCCCACCAAGGCAACGAUCCGUAGCGGGUCUGAGAGGAUGAGCCGCCACACUGGGACUGAGACACGGCCCAGACUCCUACGGGAGGCAGCAGUGGGGAAUUUUGGACAAUGGGGGCAACCCUGAUCCAGCCAUGCCGCGUGAGUGAAGAAGGCCUUCGGGUUGUAAAGCUCUUUCGGCCGGGAAGAAAUCGCACAGGUUAAUACCUUGUGUGGAUGACGGUACCGGAAUAAGAAGCACCGGCUAACUACGUGCCAGCAGCCGCAGUAAAAC